rnacentral:rRNA from 1 species
GACGUAGGUGGCGAACGUUAUCCGGAAUUAUUGGGCGUAAAGAGCUCGUAGGCGGUCUGUCGCGUCGGCUGUGAAAUCCCGAGGCUCAACCUCGGGUCUGCAGUCGAUACGGGCAAACUGGAGUGUUGCAGGGGAGACUGGAAUUCCUGGUGUAGCGGUGAAAUGCGCAGAUAUCAGGAGGAACACCGGUGGCGAAGGCGGGUCUCUGGGCAACAACUGACGCUGAGGAGCGAAAGCGUGGGGAGCGAACAGG